GUUAAAUAAAGAACGUUUUCAGAUAUUUUGAUCUAAUAAAAUUAAAAUAAUCUUUUAGAUGAUCAACCUACUGGUAAUUUGGUGCACGGUGAUGUCGAUCCAGGUAUAAACCCUGUAUUUAAAGACAAACAUUUGUUGUAGAACUUGUUGGUGGACCACUCUCUCGUUGGUAUUAGACAUGUACUUUUACCUGAGAUAAAAGCAGUAGCUGAAAAGGAGAAAGGAUCUUCCAGAGUGCAGAUGAUGCAGUUUUUGUGAGUGAGGUAUAAGAUCUGUCUCUUGUAAGACCUCUUUUAAGAAUUUAACCCAGGCAGUUGUUUACAACCAAGUUAGAUCUCAAGCAUAGCAAAGGAAUCGUACAACCUGUGAAUUCAGUUUAAUUACUGAGAUCAAGGAUGAUGAAACAUUCAUUAUGAUUAUACAGAGCUACAAAGAGUUAUGUUGAGAAUCCAAAUUAUCAUAAUGAAUUGAGACGAGACAACACCUGGGUGGAAAUUGAGAAAAAAUGCAGACAAAAGGCAUUUUUAUAUUAUCGUUAUGAAUCCAUUGUUUUUAUCAAAUCGUCACAUAGAUAAUAUUUCUCUACGCAUAAUACUAAAAUUAAAAAGGUCAGGUUAAAACAAUUUUAAUUAUCCAUAGCGUGCGAAAAACAGUGCUUCGCAUGGCUUCGGCUUCGGCGCGCUUCGCUCAAGUGCUCAUCAUGCUUUAAACUUUUGCGAAGCGCCAAAAUGUCAUUGGAUUAAUUGCGUGUAUUUUGAUUCUUCGCGUUACUUCGCUUUAAUCCGUGGGUCUGCAUUUUUAUACAUAGAUACCAUUGAUCCAAUUCACAUUUUUUCGCCACGCAUCGAAUAAGUUCGCGACAAAACUUUGUUAGUUGCAUUUUAUAUUAUUUAAUGCUAUUGUAUUGAUUUACAAUUAUUAUUGUAUUUAUAUGAACAAGUUAAGUAUAGCAGUGCCGUGCGAGCCUUCGUCUGAAGAAGAAAUUUUAUUUAUUGUAUAAUUUGUAUUAUUUACUUUUUUUAAUAAAGUUAUUACUAAUAAUAAUUAUUCAACAUAUCCACACACAUACACACACACACACACACAGUUAAUUAUUCUUAUUUUAUUAACUAUAGCUGUUUUUUCUCUCUAUUUCAUAUUUUUUGAUGAGGAUAAGUUAAUUCUAAAUGAAACGUCACCUGUUUGAGAACAAUACGAUAUAAUGGAGCGAUGUCGCAUUUAGAGUAACUUAUUCUUAUUAAAAAAUAGGAAAUAGAAGAAAAAUCAUCUAUUUUCUGUACAAAAAUUACGUUCCAAAAAUUGAUAAUAGAUGGCGCUAGAGUGGACGCAACAAUAUAGUUACAUGUAGUUAAAAUGUAAAGUUUCCUGUAAAAUAAAAUAAAAUUGUAUCAUAAGUUGUGUAACGACCCGAUGCAUGGCGCCACUGAAUUCUCCAACAGACGGUAUCAUUUCAGUUUCCUAUAUAUUUUAGUUUGUAUAUGUCAUUAUUCAUUAUUCGAUUUUUGAGAUUGUAGUUUAAAAAAGUUUAUCUUAAAAUAAAAUUGUAAUCAAGCACAAUAAUUUAUCUCCAUCAUUUACCUGAUUAAUAAUACAGGAUCUACAGUUCAAUUACAAUCAGUAAAUUUUUAUAACCUAUAUACAGCAGUAAAAUUUCUACUACUAGAAAUAAUAUAAUACACAAACUUUGCGGUACUACUUGGGGCGCAAACGCAUCCACUCUUAAAACAUCAGCUCUCAGCCUAGUUUACUCAGUUGCUGAAUAUUGCGCCCCAGUUUGGCUAAACAGCUGCCAUCUAAAGAUAAUUGACACCAAACUUAAUGAGACUAUGAGAAUAGUCAGCGGCUGUUUAAAAAGCACACCUCUACCUUGGCUGCCCACUCUGAGUCAUAUUGCACCUCCCAGUAUUCGAAGACAGGAAAGACUCGUUAAGGAAUAUCAGAAAAUAUUAUCAAAUCCCCAUCUUCCAGUCCACAAUGACUUGCCAGAUGCCUGUCUGCGAAGACUGAAGUCUAGAUCCCCCAAGGCCUCGU